UAUCUGCGCGUCGUCGUGUAAUCCGCAGGUUAUACGAACAUCGACCAGUCGAACGCACAUUGCGGCCUCGGUGACCCGCGGGUCCCGGGCCACGCCUGUCUGAGGGUCGUAUACCGGAUACUCGGCCAGACCGAUGCGCCGCCGGCCGGCGUCCGACGACCCACGCGUCGUCGGCCGCUCCGGCGGUGCGAGUUUGGCGGUUCGACCGGGGAAAACCGCGCUCGCGCGGCCGCCUCCGGUCGUCCGCCCAAGUUGUGACGGCAAACAGUCACGGGUUCUCGCGUCGUCAAACGGCACGUCCCCGUCCGCCCG
rnacentral:misc_RNA from 1 species